rnacentral:rRNA from 1 species
CCGCCAGACUCCUACGGGAGGCAGCAGUGGGGAAUAUUGCACAAUGGGGGAAACCCUGAUCCAGCGAUGCCGCGUGAGGGAAGAAGGUUUUCGGAUUGUAAACCUCUGUGGACAGGGACGAUAAUGACGGUACCUGUCAAGAAAGCCACGGCUAACUACGUGCCAGCAGCCGCGGUAAUACGGAGGAUGCGAGCGUUAUCCGGAUUUAUUGGGUUUAAAGGGUGCGUAGGCGGACUGUUAAGUCAGCGGUAAAAGCCGGGGGCUAAACCCCGGCGAGCCGUUGAAACUGGCUGUCUUGAGAUGUCGAGAGGUAUGCGGAAUGCGCAGUGUAGCGGUGAAAUGCUUAGAUAUUGCGCAGAACUCCGAUUGCGAAGGCAGCAUACCGGCGGCGAUCUGACGCUGAGGCACGAAAGCGUGGGUAUCGAACAGGAUUAGAUACCCCAGUAA